rnacentral:rRNA from 1 species
AUACGGAGGGUCCGAGCGUUAUCCGGAAUUAUUGGGUUUAAAGGGUCCGUAGGCGGGCAAUUAAGUCAGGGGUGAAAUGGUGCGGCUCAACCGUAGCACUGCCUUUGAUACUGGUUGUCUUGAGUUAUGGUGAAGUGGCCGGAAUAUGUAGUGUAGCGGUGAAAUGCAUAGAUAUUACAUAGAACACCGAUCGCGAAGGCAGGUCACUAACCAUAUACUGACGCUGAUGGACGAAAGCGUGGGGAGCGAACAGGAUUAGAAACCCUAGUAGUCC